UACGGAAGGGGCAAGCGUUGUUCGGAAUCAUUGGGCGUAAAGAGCGUGUAGGCGGCCCGAUAAGUCCGCCGUGAAAGUCCAGGGCUCAACCCUGGAAUGCCGGUGGAAACUGUCGGGCUGGAGUCCGGAAGAGGCGAGUGGAAUUCCUGGUGUAGCGGUGAAAUGCGCAGAUAUCAGGAGGAACACCAAUGGCGAAGGCAGCUCGCUGGGACGGUACUGACGCUGAGACGCGAAAGCGUGGGGAGCAAACAGG
rnacentral:rRNA from 1 species